UUCCGGUUGAUCCCGCCGGACCCCACUGCUAUCGGGAUAGGACUAAGACAUGCUAGUCGAGCGCCUCAGCCAAAACGAGGCGCGGCAUACAGCUCAGUAACACGUGGCUAAUCUGCCCUUAGGACGAGAACAACCCCGGGAAACUGGGGCUAACUCUCGAUAGGUGAAGAACACUGGAAUGUGUCUCCACCCAAACAGUUCAGGGUUAUGCUCCUUGAAUCGCCUAAGGAUGAGGCCGCGACCGAUCAGGUUGUUGGUGAGGUAAUGGCUCACCAAGCCUUUUACCGGUGCGGGCCGUGAGAGCGGGAGCCCGGAGAUGGGCACUGAGACAAGGGCCCAGGCCCUACGGGGCGCAGCAGUCGCGAAAACUUUGCAAUACACGAAAGUGUGACAGGGCUAUCCCGAGUGCCAUCCGCUGAGGAAGGCUUUUACCCAGUCUAGAAAGCUGGGGGAAUAAGGAGAGGGCAAGUCUGGUGUCAGCCGCCGCGGUAAUACCAGCUCUCCGAGUGGUGUGGAUGUUUAUUGGGCCUAAAGCAUCCGUAGCUGGCUAAGUUAGUCCCUUGUUAAAUCCACCGAAUUAAUCGUUGGAUCGCGGGGGAU
rnacentral:rRNA from 1 species